AUUGCACAAUGGGGGAAACCCUGAUGCAGCGACGCCGCGUGGGCGAAGAAGUAUUUCGGUAUGUAAAGCCCUAUCAGCAGGGACGAAGAAAUGACGGUACCUGAGUAAGAAGCCCCGGCUAACUACGUGCCAGCAGCCGCGGUAAUACGUAGGGGGCAAGCGUUAUCCGGAUUUACUGGGUGUAAAGGGAGCGUAGACGGCCAGACAAGUCAGAAGUGAAGGCCCAGGGCUCAACUCUGGGACUGCUUUUGAAACUGCCGGGCUGGAGUGCAGGAGAGGUAAGCGGAAUUCCUAGUGUAGCGGUGAAAUGCGUAGAUAUUAGGAGGAACACCAGUGGCGAAGGCGGCUUACUGGACUGUAACUGACGUUGAGGCUCGAAAGCGUGGGGAGCAAACAGG
rnacentral:rRNA from 1 species